UAGUAACUGCGAGUGAAGCGGGAAAAGCUCAAAUUUAAAAUCUGGCGGUCUUUGGCCGUCCGAGUUGUAGUCUGGAGAAGUGCUUUCCGCGCUGGACCGUGUAUAAGUCUCUUGGAACAGAGCGUCAUAGAGGGUGAGAAUCCCGUCUUUGACACGGACUACCAGUGCUUUGUGAUGCGCUCUCAAAGAGUCGAGUUGUUUGGGAAUGCAGCUCAAAAUGGGUGGUGAAUUCCAUCUAAAGCUAAAUAUUGGCGAGAGACCGAUAGCGAACAAGUACCGUGAGGGAAAGAUGAAAAGCACUUUGGAAAGAGAGUUAAACAGUACGUGAAAUUGCUGAAAGGGAAACGCUUGAAGUCAGUCGCGUUAGCCGGAACUCAGCCUUGCUUUCGCUUGGUGCACUUUCCGGUUGACGGGCCAGCAUCGAUUUUGACCGUCGGAUAAGGGCUAGAGUAAUGUGGCACCUCCGGGUGUGUUAUAGACUCUGGUCGCACACGGCGGUUGGGAUCGAGGAACGCAGCGCGCCGUAAGGCAGGGGUUCGCCCACUUUCGCGCUUAGGAUGCUGGCAUAAUGGCUUUAAACGACCCGUCUUGAAACACGGACCAAGGAGUCUAACAUACCUGCGAGUGUUUGGGUGGAAAACCCGAGCGCGUAAUGAAAGUGAAAGUUGAGACCUCUGUCGUGGAGGGCAUCGACGCCCGGACCUGACGUUCUCUGACGGAUCCGCGGUAGAGCAUGUAUGUUGGGACCCGAAAGAUGGUGAAMDADRCCUGAAUAGGGUGAAGCCAGAGGAAACUCUGGU
rnacentral:rRNA from 1 species